rnacentral:rRNA from 1 species
UACGGGGGGAGCAAGCGUUGUUCGGAUUUACUGGGCGUAAAGCGUGCGCAGGCGGUGAUGUAAGCCAGAUGUGAAAUCCCCGGGCCCAACCUGGGAACUGCAUUUGUGACUGCAUCGCUGGAGUGCGGCAGAGGGGGAUGGAAUUCCGCGUGUAGCAGUGAAAUGCGUAGAUAUGCGGAGGAACACCGAUGGCGAAGGCAAUCCCCUGGGCCUGCACUGACGCUCAUGCACGAAAGCGUGGGGAGCAAACAGG